CCCUUAGAUGUUCUGGGCCGCACGCGCGCUACACUGAUGCAUUCAACGAGUCUAAAACCUGCUCUGAUAGGGGUGGGUAAUCUUUUGAAUGUGCAUCGUGAUUGGGAUAGAUGAUUGCAAUUUUUCAUCUUCAACGAGGAAUGCCUAGUAAACGCAAGUCAUCAGCUUGCAUUGAUUACGUCCCUGCCCUUUGUACACACCGCCCGUCGCUCCUACCGAUUGAAUGAUCCGAUGAAUGUCAUGGAUUGAGGAUGCAAGUAGGUUAGCCUAUCUUCAUCUUCGAGAAGUGAAGUAAAUCUUAUCAUUUAGAGGAAGGAGAAGUCGUAACA
rnacentral:rRNA from 1 species